rnacentral:tmRNA from 1 species
GGGGGCGAAACGGGUUCGACGGGGGUAGUUGAAGCGCUGGCUGCAUGCCGAGGUUCCUACAGGCUCGCUAAAAAGGUAGGAAAAAACAUAAUCGCAGACGAUUAUAACUACGCUCUGGCCGCUUAACCCCGGCCAGCGUCCGACAGUUAACGCUCCUGCCGGGAGCUGAAGGACGUCGACUAAAGCAGGAUAGCCGCGCACGUGUGCUCAGGGUAUGCGCGGCGAAACCUAACCUGAGCUGGCCCUCAUACAGCAUCCCGCUCCCGGGAGGCUCAGAGAGCGAGACUUCAAAUCGGGAGAUACGCAUGUAGACGUCAUCGUAGAAGAUUCCCGGACGGGGGUUCGACUCCCCCCGCCUCCAGUC